rnacentral:rRNA from 1 species
CCUACGGUAGGCAGCAGUGAGGAAUAUUGGUCAAUGGACGCAAGUCUGAACCAGCCAUGCCGCGUGCAGGAAGACGGCUCUAUGAGUUGUAAACUGCUUUUGUACGAGGGUAAACGCAGAUACGCGUAUCUGUCUGAAAGUAUCGUACGAAUAAGGAUCGGCUAACUCCGUGCCAGCAGCCGCGGUAAUACGGAGGAUUCAAGCGUUAUCCGGAUUUAUUGGGUUUAAAGGGUGCGUAGGCGGUCGGAUAAGUUAGAGGUGAAAUCCCGAGGCUCAACUUCGGAAUUGCCUCUGAUACUGUUCGGCUAGAGAGUAGUUGCGGUAGGCGGAAUGUAUGGUGUAGCGGUGAAAUGCUUAGAGAUCAUACAGAACACCGAUGGCGAAGGCAGCUUACCAAACUGCUUCUGACGUUGAGGCACGAAAGCGUGGGGAGCAAACAGGAUUAGAUACCCGGGUAGUC